rnacentral:rRNA from 1 species
CCUACGGGAUGCAGCAGUGGGGAAUAUUGCACAAUGGGCGCAAGCCUGAUGCAGCCAUGCCGCGUGUAUGAAGAAGGCCUUCGGGUUGUAAAGUACUUUCAGCGGGGAGGAAGGUGUUGUGGUAAAUAACCGCAGCAAUUGACGUUACCCGCAGGAGAAGCACCGGCUAACUCCGUGCCAGCAGCCGGGUAAUACGGAGGGUGCAUGCGUUAAUCGGAAUUACUGGGCGUAAAGCGCACGCAGGCGGUCUGUCAAGUCGGAUGUGAAAUCCCCGGGCUCAACCUGGGAACUGCAUCUGAUACUGGCAAGCUUGAGUCUCGUAGAGGGGGGUAGAAUUCCAGGUGUAGCGGUGAAAUGCGUAGAGAUCUGGAGGAAUACCGGUGGCGAAGGCGGCCCCCUGGACGAAGACUGACGCUCAGGUGCGAAAGCGUGGGGAGCAAACAGGAUUAGAUACCCUAGUAGUC